CUUGUUUCUUCAGUUUGUUCCAUUCUGUGCAUCUGUUGUACUUUUCUUUUUCUGUCUUCAGACUGUCUCACUGUCUUUAACGCUAAGCCCGGUCAUUCUAAAAGGACCUGUAAUUCUUUCUCUUUACUGUUUGCACUAGGUUUGCAUGUUGAGAUACAUUGAUCCUUGACAAAAUCAUUGCAUCACUACGUGUAAAAAAUACUAGGGACACACAAUGUAUUCUGCUUUUUGGGAUUGUU